CACCGCGGUUAUACGAGCAAGCUCGAGUCGACAGGUAUCGGCGUAAAGGGUGGUCAGGGGAAGAGUAACUAAAGUCAAACACCUCCUCAACUGUAAUACGCACACGGAGGUAUGAAGAUCAACUACGAAAGUGGCUUUAUCUUGCUUGAAUCCACGAUAGCUAAGAAA
rnacentral:rRNA from 2 species